rnacentral:rRNA from 1 species
GGUUAAGCGACUAAGCGUACACGGUGGAUGCCCUGGCAGUCAGAGGCGAUGAAGGGCGUGCUAAUCUGCGAUAAGCGCCGGUAAGGUGAUAUGAACCGUUAUAACCGGCGAUACCCGAAUGGGGAAACCCAGUGUGAUUCGUCACACUAUCAUUAACUGAAUCCAUAGGUUAAUGAGGCGAACCGGGGGAACUGAAACAUCUAAGUACCCCGAGGAAAAGAAAUCAACCGAGAUUCCCCCAGUAGCGGCGAGCGAACGGGGAGGAGCCCAGAGCCUGAAUCAGCAUGUGUGUUAGUGGAAGCGUCUGGAAAGGCGCGCGAUACAGGGUGACAGCCCCGUACACAAAAAGCGCAUGUGCUGUGAGCUCGAUGAGUAGGGCGGGACACGUGGUAUCCUGUCUGAAUAUGGGGGAAAAUUAUCCUCCAAGGCUAAAUACUCCUGACUGACCGAUAGUGAACCAGUACCGUGAGGGAAAGGCGAAAAGAACCCCGGCGAGGGGAGUGAAAAAGAACCUGAAACCGUGUACGUACAAGCAGUGGGAGCCCCACCACCAAAGCAUUCUCUGGUGUUGAAGGCCCUGCAAAGCAGCAUCGCGGUGGCGGAGCGUCGUUUGCGACGCCCAACACACAAAACAAGCGGUGAGUGCUUUGGGGUGGGGUGACUGCGUACCUUUGUAUAAUGGGUCAGCGACUUAUAUUCUGUAGCAAGGUUAACCGAAUAGGGGAGCCGGAGGGAAACCGAGUCUUAAUUGGGCGUUAAGUUGCAGGGUAUAGACCCGAAACCCGGUGAUCUAGCCAUGGGCAGGUUGAAGGUUGGGUAACACUAACUGGAGGACCGAACCGACUAAUGUUGAAAAAUUAGCGGAUGACCUGUGGCUGGGGGUGAAAGGCCAAUCAAACCGGGAGAUAGCUGGUUCUCCCCGAAAGCUAUUUAGGUAGCGCCUCGUGAAUUCAUCUCCGGGGGUAGAGCACUGUUUCGGCUAGGGGGCCAUCCCGGCUUACCAACCCGAUGCAAACUGCGAAUACCGGAGAAUGUUAUCACGGGAGACACACGGCGGGUGCUAACGUCCGUCGUGAAGAGGGAAACAACCCAGACCGCAAGCUAAGGUCCCAAAGUCAUGGUUAAGUGGGAAACGAUGUGGGAAGGCCCAGACAGCCAGGAUGUUGGCUUAGAAGCAGCCAUCAUUUAAAGAAAGCGUAAUAGCUCACUGGUCGAGUCGGCCUGCGCGGAAGAUGUAACGGGGCUAAACCAUGCACCGAAGCUGCGGCAGCGAACGUAUCACUUAAAGCGAUUCAGCGGGUUACGAUUGACGGAGCGAAGCGACGUCAAAGCGUAUACAAAGUCGAGUCGGUUUAAGGAUACGUUCGUUGGGUAGGGGAGCGUUCUGUAAGCCUGCGAAGGUGGCCUGUGAGGGUUGCUGGAGGUAUCAGAAGUGCGAAUGCUGACAUAAGUAACGAUAAAGCGGGUGAAAAGCCCGCUCGCCGGAAGACCAAGGGUUCCUGUCCAACGUUAAUCGGGGCAGGGUGAGUCGACCCCUAAGGCGAGGCCGAAAGGCGUAGUCGAUGGGAAACGGGUUAAUAUUCCCGUACUUGGUGUUACUGCGAAGGGGGGGACGGAGAAGGCUAUGUUGGCCGGGCGACGGUUGUCCCGGUUUAAGCGUGUAGGUGUGUGUUCCAGGUAAAUCCGGUUCACUUUAACACUGAGGCGUGACGACGAGGCACUACGGUGCUGAAGCAACAAAUGCCCUGCUUCCAGGAAAAGCCUCUAAGCAUCAGGUAACAUCAAAUCGUACCCCAAACCGACACAGGUGGUCAGGUAGAGAAUACCAAGGCGCUUGAGAGAACUCGGGUGAAGGAACUAGGCAAAAUGGUGCCGUAACUUCGGGAGAAGGCACGCUGACACGUAGGUGAAGUGAUUUACUCACGGAGCUGAAGUCAGUCGAAGAUACCAGCUGGCUGCAACUGUUUAUUAAAAACACAGCACUGUGCAAACACGAAAGUGGACGUAUACGGUGUGACGCCUGCCCGGUGCCGGAAGGUUAAUUGAUGGGGUCAGCGCAAGCGAAGCUCCUGAUCGAAGCCCCGGUAAACGGCGGCCGUAACUAUAACGGUCCUAAGGUAGCGAAAUUCCUUGUCGGGUAAGUUCCGACCUGCACGAAUGGCGUAAUGAUGGCCAGGCUGUCUCCACCCGAGACUCAGUGAAAUUGAACUCGCUGUGAAGAUGCAGUGUACCCGCGGCAAGACGGAAAGACCCCGUGAACCUUUACUAUAGCUUGACACUGAACAUUGAGCCUUGAUGUGUAGGAUAGGUGGGAGGCUUUGAAGUGUGGACGCCAGUCUGCAUGGAGCCGACCUUGAAAUACCACCCUUUAAUGUUUGAUGUUCUAACGUGAAUUCCGUGAUCCGGGUUGCGGACAGUGUCUGGUGGGUAGUUUGACUGGGGCGGUCUCCUCCUAAAGAGUAACGGAGGAGCACGAAGGUUGGCUAAUCCUGGUCGGACAUCAGGAGGUUAGUGCAAUGGCAUAAGCCAGCUUGACUGCGAGCGUGACGGCGCGAGCAGGUGCGAAAAGCAGGUCAUAGUGAUCCGGUGGUUCUGAAUGGAAGGGCCAUCGCUCAACGGAUAAAAGGUACUCCGGGGAUAACAGGCUGAUACCGCCCAAGAGUUCAUAUCGACGGCGGUGUUUGGCACCUCGAUGUCGGCUCAUCACAUCCUGGGGCUGAAGUAGGUCCCAAGGGUAUGGCUGUUCGCCAUUUAAAGUGGUACGCGAGCUGGGUUUAGAACGUCGUGAGACAGUUCGGUCCCUAUCUGCCGUGGGCGCUGGAGAACUGAGGGGGCUGCUCCUAGUACGAGAGGACCGGAGUGGACGCAUCACUGGUGUUCGGGUUGUCAUGCCAAUGGCACUGCCCGGUAGCUAAAUGCGGAAGAGAUAAGUGCUGAAAGCAUCUAAGCACGAAACUUGCCCCGAGAUGAGUUCUCCCUGAGACUUAGAGUCUCCUGAAGGAACGUUGAAGACGACGACGUUGAUAGGCCGGGUGUGUAAGCGCAGCGAUGCGUUGAGCUAACCGGUACUAAUGAACCGUGAGGCUUAACCUU